GCACUGAUGACGAGUUCCAAACAGAACGAAACUGCUGUCCAGUGC
rfam:Echinostoma caproni strain Egypt genome assembly, scaffold: ECPE_scaffold0002145